rnacentral:misc_RNA from 1 species
GAAAAGAAAUCCCAGAUGAAAAAUUGCUGCAAAACAAAAUCAGAACCAUACAUGAUGACUCCUUAUCGCACAAAGUCAACUCAUCAAAAGAUGCAAAUCUCACACAAGUUCCAAAAUCCUGGUUUGGGAAUAACCAUUGAAAUUAAUAAAAUUUAAAAGCACAAACACGCACAUACACACAAAAGCAUCAAAACCAAUCAAACAGAACCCGAAUGUAGAAGAAAAACGCAAAACCCAGAUCGUAUGACAAUAAAAGAAACGAUGUAACAGUACUUAAAAAAAUAUGUGAUUAUAGUGAAAUUUGGAUAGAGGAAUAGAAUAAUAAAGUAGAAAACAAUCGAUUAAAUUAUAAACUACCUGCUGGGGAUGAGAAGAAGG